rnacentral:rRNA from 1 species
AGUCGAACGAACUUCCGUUAAUUGAUUAUGAGGUGCUUGCACUGAAUGAGAUUUUAACACGAAGUGAGUGGCGGACGGGUGAGUAACACGUGGGUAACCUGCCCAGAAGCAGGGGAUAACACCUGGAAACAGAUGCUAAUACCGUAUAACAGAGAAAACCGCCUGGUUUUCUUUUAAAAGAUGGCUCUGCUAUCACUUCUGGAUGGACCCGCGGCGCAUUAGCUAGUUGGUGAGGUAACGGCUCACCAAGGCGAUGAUGCGUAGCCGACCUGAGAGGGUAAUCGGCCACAUUGGGACUGAGACACGGCCCAGACUCCUACGGGAGGCAGCAGUAGGGAAUCUUCCACAAUGGACGCAAGUCUGAUGGAGCAACGCCGCGUGAGUGAAGAAGGGUUUCGGCUCGUAAAGCUCUGUUGUUAAAGAAGAACGUGGGUGAGAGUAACUGUUCACCCAGUGACGGUAUUUAACCAGAAAGCCACGGCUAACUACGUGCCAGCAGCCGCGGUAAUACGUAGGUGGCAAGCGUUAUCCGGAUUUAUUGGGCGUAAAGCGAGCGCAGGCGGUCUUUUAAGUCUAAUGUGAAAGCCUUCGGCUCAACCGAAGAAGUGCAUUGGAAACUGGGAGACUUGAGUGCAGAAGAGGACAGUGGAACUCCAUGUGUAGCGGUGAAAUGCGUAGAUAUAUGGAAGAACACCAGUGGCGAAGGCGGCUGUCUGGUCUGUAACUGACGCUGAGGCUCGAAAGCAUGGGUAGCGAACAGGAUUAGAUACCCUGGUAGUCCAUGCCGUAAACGAUGAUUACUAAGUGUUGGAGGGUUUCCGCCCUUCAGUGCUGCAGCUAACGCAUUAAGUAAUCCGCCUGGGGAGUACGACCGCAAGGUUGAAACUCAAAAGAAUUGACGGGGGCCCGCACAAGCGGUGGAGCAUGUGGUUUAAUUCGAAGCUACGCGAAGAACCUUACCAGGUCUUGACAUCUUCUGCCAACCUAAGAGAUUAGGCGUUCCCUUCGGGGACAGAAUGACAGGUGGUGCAUGGUUGUCGUCAGCUCGUGUCGUGAGAUGUUGGGUUAAGUCCCGCAACGAGCGCAACCCUUAUUACUAGUUGCCAGCAUUCAGUUGGGCACUCUAGUGAGACUGCCGGUGACAAACCGGAGGAAGGUGGGGACGACGUCAAAUCAUCAUGCCCCUUAUGACCUGGGCUACACACGUGCUACAAUGGAUGGUACAACGAGUCGCGAAACCGCGAGGUUUAGCUAAUCUCUUAAAACCAUUCUCAGUUCGGACUGUAGGCUGCAACUCGCCUACACGAAGUCGGAAUCGCUAGUAAUCGCGGAUCACAUGGCGGGGUGAAUACUUUCCCGGGCCUUGUACACACCGCCCGUCACACCAUGAGAGUUUGUAACACCCAAAGCC